rnacentral:tRNA from 1 species
GGGGCUAUAGCUCAGCUGGGAGAGUGCCUGCUUUGCACGCAGGAGGUCUGCGGUUCGAUCCCGCAUAGCUCCACCA